AAAAAAGCAGUGCCCCAUUACCUCUGUGAAUGCGACACUCGUUAAAUUCAGGAAAAUUGACUCGUGAAUCGUUCUUGGGUGAACCUCUGUUAUAAAAAGUGGCUGAAGGUUCAGUAAAUGAUUCAACAUUU
rfam:Daucus carota subsp. sativus cultivar DH1 chromosome 2, whole genome shotgun sequence.